UUUCGGAGCACUUGAAAGUCGGGGACAAGAGAGUGAGGCCAUCAGGCCAAAGAUAAGAUAAUAGCGUGCAAGAUGGGAAAAUAUCAGAUUAGAACAACAGCCACAAACCUAGCAGCGGAUGAUUCUUUAAAUACAUUUUCAAAAUUAUCUAUUACUAGGUCCACUGGUCUCCACAUAAUGAAACUAUUCUGGCUUCAAGUGGUACUGACCGCCGCCUGAAUGUGUGGGAUUUAAGUAAAAUUGGGGAAGAACAAUCAGCAGAAGAUGCAGAAGAUGGGCCUCCAGAACUCCUGUUUAUUCAUGGAGGACACACUGCUAAGAUUUCAGAUUUUAGCUGGAACCCCAAUGAGCCUUGGGUCAUUUGCUCAGUGUCUGAGGAUAACAUCAUGCAGAUAUGGCAAAUGGCUGAAAAUAUUUACAAUGAUGAAGAGUCAGAUGUCACGACAUCCGAACUGGAGGGACAAGGAUCUUAAACCCAAAGUACGAGAUGUUUCUGUUGAAUGUAAUGCUACAUGAAUGCUUGAUUUGUCAAGCGCCAAAAAGGCAUUGUAUAGUAGGAAAUGUAAGUGGGGUGGCUUAUGGCUUCUUUAUCCUCUGAUUCUAGCACUUUCAAGUGAGCUGUUGCGUACUGUAUCAUAUUGUAGCUAUUAGGGAAGAGAAGAAUGUUGCUUAAGAAAGAACAUCACCAUUGAUUUUAAAUACAAGUAGCAGGGUAUUGCCUUUGAUUCAACUGUUUUAAGUCCUCAUUUUCUCAAACUAAGUGCUUGCUGUUCCCAAAUAUGCAAGAAUAACUUUUACACUUUUUCCUUCCAACACUUCUUGAUUGGCUUUGCAGAAAUAAAGUUUUAAAAUAAAA
rnacentral:sRNA from 1 species